rnacentral:snRNA from 1 species
AGCUUUGCAGAGUGGCAGUGUCAUAGCCGAUGAGUUUUAUCCAAGGCAUGGUUGUUGCUAAUUAAAAUUGGAUCUCAGUCCCCGCAAAAGUACUUAGCUACUUUCAGUCUACUACUACUGCUAG